rnacentral:lncRNA from 1 species
UUUUAGGUACAAUAUACAGUGCUAAAUUCCUCGAAACAGAGAAGAAAAAUGCCAAGAAGUUUGCUACUGUGUUAGCAAAGUCCUUAGCGAGGAGAGCUAUGCCUACACACUGCGUCGACUGCGAGUGUACUGCUCCUAAUACAGGAGUUUCCUACAUGGAAUGUUCUCUUUGUACGAUGGCUAAUUCAACGAGGUUCAACUUUGAGACGCCAGGGUCAGAAGACGAAGACAUAAAUAUAUUCGACGGGUUUAGUUGGUAGAUCAAUUUUUGUUAUAUAAAUUUUUAAUGUAAGUUUUUGAUGUUUUUACACAAACCUAAUUAAAUGAUAAGAUCAGUAAUUUUAAGUAAACGGGGUUUUUAAAUAAA